rnacentral:lncRNA from 1 species
UUUCCCUCUAUGUCUAUUGUCUGUCCUUGGUGCACCAAGCUGUCCAUGUCUGUCAGUUUAUGUCUGUGGUUUUUGUUUCUCGUUGUUUAAAUGUUUUAUGUUUCAUGUUCAAAAGAAAAAAUGGUAAAAACUUUAUCUGCUGGUCGUUUACAUCUUGAUUUGGUUUUAACUCGUUUCAAAAAAAAGGAACAAAUGAAUAAAAAGCAGUUUCAAUUGGCCUUUGGAGCCCUGUACCUGUAGCUAGGAGCCUAGGUCAGCUGGAGAAGCUGCCCAGGGAUGAGCGUCUGCAUGAGCUGAUUAUUAGACUUAGCAGGUGACAAGGUGCUUCUCUUAAAAUCACAGCUAGAAAAGUCAUAAUGGUGUUUGGUCUAACUAUUAAAGAUAUGUGUAGCCACUUCAAUUUUGUUUCUGAUUGGUUUCAAAUAUAUAAAUAUGCUCUACAUGCCUUGGUUAUGGACUAUUGGUUUUUAAGUUAUUAGAUAUGGUUAAAAAGGUGUAACAUUGGUAACAGAAAGUUGGCUUAAAACUGUAAUUUGGAUGAAGUCAUUCUAGACAACAUGUGGCAUGAGCCAACCUAGGGAAACAGGUCUAAAUUGAGAUAAUAUUUUUAUGGAAUUCUUAUUCUAGAAACCAGGCUUCUAAAAGAUUUUAGGGCAAUGUCUCUUUGUUGGGGUAUCGGAGACUGCACCAUCAUGCGUUCAUAUGUAGUAAUUGGCAGUCAAACUUUUUGCAUGAAGGACAGACUCAGUGUUUUGGAGACUGUAUUUUGGAGACUAGGUUGUUGGAGGUUGAGUUUUGUUUUCCAAAGUUGUGGUUUGCCCUGAAGUUACUGUAUUUUGAUGCUAAUUCCACUGCCCCAAGGACAGCUGCCUAGUCACAUACUCAGAACUCAGGUGACUUUCCAAAGUUGUGGCUGUGCUCUGGUGUUACAAGGAGAACUUAAAGAUUGUGAUUAAGGAUUGCCAGUGUUACAUUGACUAACUCAAACUUACUUAUAAUUGAGAAAAAAUCAAGCAGGUAGAGAUUGUUACAGGAUUUACGAAGGAUUGAUGAGGUUUUGGAACUUGUGAGAGCAUUACAGCUUGUUUGUUUACUCCAACUGCCAUUUCAAGAUAGAUUUAGAGGAUUGUUUUUAUGCAAUUUGUUUACGUCCUGGCGAUUGUGAGGAAUUUUCAUUUCAUGAGCUUGCUUAUAAUUUUAGAGAGCCCAUGAAGUGAUAUCAUUAAAAAUUUUACAAAAGAAUGGCCAAUAGCCUUAUAUUAUGUAAUUUUGUUGCUUCUUUAAUGUAGAAGUUAGAACUUUAAAUCUUUCAGUAUAUAUGGAAAUUUAUACUACAAACCUUUGCUCUCAAAAUGAGCUUUAAUAUUUGGGGAGUAGCUGUUGCACUAUUCCAGAGAAGAAUAUUUGAAACUAAUUUUAAGCUUCCGAGGAUAUGUUAAUUGGCUAAGUACCUCACCUUACCAGAGGACUUAGGCCUUUGUUUGUUAUACUCAUUGGAGAUAAAGCUUCAGUUGUGUUAAUACAGAAUUGUAGGCUAGAGUCAUGGAAGUAUUUUAAAAAGAAACCUGGUGAAACAUACCUUAUUCCAAACAGCAAUUAAAUCGGUUAUUACAAAAUACUAAUAUUUGGCCUAUCACAUGUACAAAUUUUUCAGGCAAAAUUGAUAAUUUUACUCUUUACAUGCUUUUGUUAUUUCCUAUAAAUUUGUGGAUGCAACCCAUAGAAAAUGCGCUUACUGUAUUUAUAGGUGGUUCAUUUAAUAAAAAUGCUACAUAUAUGAUUGGACCACUUGUUUAUUCUCUAGAGUUUCCCCUUGUUCAGCACAGAUUAUUGAAUUAUGUGCUGUAGACGCUGUUUUUUAAAUGUUAAAAAAUCAAGCUUUCAAUUCAUAUACUGAUAGCCAAUGUGUGGCUUAUGGUUUACAAUUGAUUAAAAAGUUUUUCUUUUUUUUUUUUUGAUACUACUAACCCUUAAAUUUUACAAUUAGUUAAUGCUUUAUUGGAGGCAAGUUUUCUACAUGAAAUCAGUGAGUGAUGAUUUCAGUGUGAAUGUCUGACCACUCACUGUCCUUUCAGAGCUCUGGCUCAGACAACUAAAUUAGACCUUAGAUUCAUACCUAGCUUUGUGGAAAUGGUAAUGGAGUUGAUAGCACACCCUCACGAAAAGAGGAAGACUCCAUUUGCUUAUUCUCACUCCCAGUCUUACCCUGCCAGCUCAGGGAUUUCUAAGUAAGGCUAAAUCUGGAUCUUGUUUACAGGAUUUGGCUUUUUUUUUUUUGUUUUUGUUUUUUUUUUCGGAGCUGGGGACCGAACCCAGGGCCUUGCGCUUCCUAGGUAAGCGCUCUACCACUGAGCUAAAUCCCCAGCCCCAGGAUUUGGCAUUUCUAAUUAAUGCUUAUGUUUAGGUAAAUAAAGCUGGUGAGGGGCUAGAGAGAUGGCUUAAUGGUUAAGAGCACUAAGUACUGUUCCUUUAGAGGCCAUUUAAUAACUCAAACUGGAUUGCCUGGACCCCUUAGCAAGGGAGGACAAUGAUACCAGGCAGAUUAUAGGCCUUACAUAGGAACAAUUAGUCAAAAAAUCUCAUUCUUUAUAUAACCAAAACAAUAAUGCUGGAGACAAUAAUUUGGUAUACAAGUCAAUUUAUAAAUGCAAGUGCUCAGUGUCCUUAAUUUAAUCCUUGAGGACUUAUCUUAAUAAAUAAUAUCUUAACAAUAUCUCAAUAAAUAAAAAGGGGGAGUUACAUCCCUGUAUGCUAUACAAUUAUUUAAUAAUACUCCUUUUAUUUCCAAUUUUAAAAUCUGUAUGCCAAGGAAUACUCUGAGUAUUUAUGGCACCCUACAACUAGGCAUACUUCUGCCUAGGUGAAAUAGAAAGAUUCACGUAUUGGCAUGAUUCUGUUCAGAUAUUUUAUAUGGGGAAGAGGGAAUGUUUGUGUUUUUUCUACAGGAUGCUACAGGAGUGUGCCAGCUGCCUGAGUGGCUGGUGAGACAUGCUGAUCCUGGGAGCAUGAAGAUUCAGCUCUCCUGGUUCGGGUCCCCGGAGUCAUUCCUGUGCCCUUAGAGGAAGAUGGAGGAUUCCCCCUCAUCUUUUGUCAUCACAGAGAUUUUGGCGUUGCCGCAGUCAGUGUUACCGCUGCGUGUGUCCCGUCCCACUGUGGCCUACGCUCAGACCCUCUGUGCACUGCUGCUUGCUGGAGAAGACUGGACACCAGCCGUUACCCUUGCCCCCCCCAUUCCCCUGGCGACUCUUGCUGCCUUAACUGGUGUUGUCAUUUUGCAGUCUUUAGCUUCACAGGAAUGCCAUCUGCGUGAAGCUGCUGUGGACUGGGGAACUCUGCCCUGGUUGUGCAGAUCUCAGACAUGGUUGCAUUGCCUGCUGGUUGUUCCAGAGAAGCAUGGCUGAUCCUGAACUGUCCUGGGAAAGACCUUGGCAUUUUCGCUGCUAUUGUAGCAGCCAUUACUGCUGCAGCCAUUGUGUCUGCAGUGUCUGGAGUUACCCUCCCCCAAUCUAUUGUUAGGCAAGCACAGUGGGUGAACUUUCUGGAGUAGUUGCUAACAAUUCGGAAUUCUAAAUUUUAUUACAGGAGCUGCUUGAUGACGGCCCUUGGUGGUAUGGCCAUAGCAGCUGAGGAGAACCAGAGAAACAACAAACAAAGAUGAGGCGUUUGCCCGAUUCUCAGUACCGUGCUGGUGCAGGCGCCAACAAUCACAUCCAGGAAAGAGCAUCCUAAAAUAAAUGUAAGCAGGUCUCAUGCAGCCUGGCAACUCUGGUAAAUGCCGGAAACUCUUCAGUGGUGGCUGUGCCUUCUGCACGUGUGCACCAUCUUUCUCAAUAAACGGGAAAAAAAAAACCCA